rnacentral:lncRNA from 1 species
UUAGUGCGUAUGCGAAGUAGAGGGUCUACACUUUCAGGCCUCCGCAAAGGUUUGCUCCAAAUGUUUGGAGGUUUGAUCUUCUAUUCUGCUGCUAAUCAGAUAAGAAUUUGAUCCUCAUUCAUUUAGAUUAAUAGAAUAUUUUUAGAUACAACUUGGGCUAUCUGAAGAGAAAUAGUUUUCCUUCCCUUCAAAUUUGUCCUAGAAUUAACAAUGAUGAUUUUAUAUAUUCUGAGAUACAUUAAUUAGUGAUUAAUUUUAAAAUACUUUUGAUCAAAGGAUCAUCACGGAGGACAGUGAUCAAUCUAUUCG